UACACUGAUGCAAACAAGUUA
ensembl:piRNA 21ur-15394 ncRNA